rnacentral:rRNA from 1 species
GACGAACGCUGGCGGCGUGCCUAAUACAUGCAAGUAGAACGCUGAAGGAGGAGCUUGCUUCUCUGGAUGAGUUGCGAACGGGUGAGUAACGCGUAGGUAACCUGCCUGGUAGCGGGGGAUAACUAUUGGAAACGAUAGCUAAUACCGCAUAAUAGUAGAUGUCGCAUGACAUUUGCUUAAAAGGUGCAAUUGCAUCACUACCAGAUGGACCUGCGUUGUAUUAGCUAGUUGGUGAGGUAACGGCUCACCAAGGCAACGAUCCAUAGCCGACCUGAGAGGGGGGACGGCCAAACUGGGACUGGGACAAGGCCCAAGCUCCUACGGGGGGCAGCCGUAGGGGAUCUUCGGCAAUGGACGGAAGUCUGACCGAGCAACGCCGCGUGAGUGGAGAAGGGUUUCGGAUCGUAAAGCUCUGUUGUAAGAGAAGAACGAGUGUGAGAGUGGAAAGUUCACACUGUGACGGUAUCUUACCAGAAAGGGACGGCUAACUACGUG